ACCCUGUAAAGGUUUGGAGAGACUUGAUUACAUGGCAGGGAAAGUAAAAAUGUGGAUGAAAUACCCUGACGCUCAGGUCACAUGACCAGGUGAUAAGGCCUUAUGAGACUACCAGCAGCCCUGCUGGCUCAGGUGCGGCCUGUGUGGGAGGACUCGUGUCUUGGUGGUUCCAGAGAAGCUGCCUUCCACUGUGUGAACCCGGACUGAAUCACAGGCCGCUUUUUGUUCUCCCUUGGCCUUGGAGGGCCUGGGAGGUUCCUGUUGCCCAACACCCUGAAUAACAGAGAGCACGCCAGUGAUCAUAAGAAGAAAAAUUCACAUUUAAAGUUUGGAAAGCAACAGGACAAAGGGAGUAUCCUAUGAAGAUGGUCUCAAAGCACUUUGAGAUGAACAGAAUGUUCUAUAAAUGGGAAUUGAAAAUAAUCAAGACAUUCAUGGAUCCAAACAGGCCACAGAAAUACCAUAGCAACAAAUGAACAAUAAUUGCUGCAUUAUGGGCUCUUUCCCCAGCUGCACUCAUGCAAUCAAAGCUCUGCUGCAUCUUCAGAAGGAGCCCAGGUCAGGUCUGGCUGCCAUCACCCAUGAGGAAGACGUGCAGAGCCAGACAGAUGCCUGGAGGAAAGACACCCCACAUCCAAGCCAGUUCAUCCAAGUCACCCGAUAAUGAUGUGCUCUAAAGAAACUACCUGUUGCAGCAAACUCCUUACCUUACUGGACGCGUAGCGAUGGCCAGCGCAGGAUGAGGCCGUGGGAGGAUUUAAAUGACACAGUCCACCCUGCAAACCAAGGUCAACAAGGCGGCAGGUAUGGCCACAGCCCCUCACCGUGGACUCUGUACGAGCCAAUACACAGUGUGCUAUUCCCCAGUUAUUUCUGAAUACAGCCACAGGGAGAUGUGAACCAGCCCCACUUCCCUAGAGCACACAGAGGCUAGAAGGGAUCCAUGUUGCUAUGUUGGCCAGGCUGGUCUGGACCUGUUCAGCUUGCCAAUGAUCCCAAACUCCUGAUCCAGGCAGAUCACUAAGACAGAGAAAUAUUCCCUUUUCCAGGAAAGCCCUCUGGCCUCACCCUGCUCAUUGAUGAGUCCACUAGCUCGACACACCCAGUUAGUGGGGGCAUCUUCUCCAACGGUGGGGAGGACUGCAGUGGGGGCAGCUGCGGAGAUGGCAGAAUCUUUCCUGCGGGAUUCUGGAAUGUUGUAUCCCCUCUGGAAGAGACACAAGGAGUGAGGGCGACACUGGGAAGGGUGUGGGAGGGAGAACCUUCCUUACUGCCUGGCGUCCCUCAGGGGCCAGUGACCAACCUUAUUAGCCACCUCUGUGCAUUCAACCGCUUCCUCUCUCCUGAGGCAGCCAGAGCCUGAAUAUCUCAGCAAGGCAUUAAGAAAGGCUUUAAUAAUUGAUUUAAUUAAAGUCUAAAAAUUAUAGAACCAGCUCCUAUGCGUUGAGUGAUUUCAGAGCUCUCCUUUCCUUUGCCGUCUUCGAAGGGUAAUCUGGAUGCUGGAGGGUUGCUCUCUGGCUUGACAAACUCAGUUUGUUUCCAUAGUUACAAAACACUUGUGCUCUUCCCGACCCACAAUCCAUCAGGAGGGGU
rnacentral:lncRNA from 1 species